GGGGUUGUGGCUCAGUGGUAGAGUGCUUGCCUCACAUGCAUGGGGCACUGGGUUCGAUCCUUAGCACCA
rnacentral:tRNA from 1 species